UACAGAGGGUGCGAGCGUUGUCCGGAAUCACUGGGCGUAAAGGGCGCGUAGGCGGCCUGAUAAGUAGGGGGUGAAAUCCUGUGGCUUAACUGCAGGGCUGCCUCCUAGACUGUUAGGCUCGAGGCCGGUAGGGGCGAGCGGAAUUCCCGGUGUAGUGGUGGAAUGCGUAGAGAUCGGGAGGAACACCAGUGGCGAAGGCGGCUCGCUGGGCCGGUCCUGACGCUCAGGCGCGAAAGCGUGGGGAGCGAUCCGG
rnacentral:rRNA from 1 species